CCCCCUCCCAACGCGGGAAGACUCGCCGGCAAUGACACUGGUUAUCUUUUCCAUCGUGGAAUGCCCCCCAUUGAUUUUUUCCCCUUUUCGGGGGGAAAAAAUUGGAAACGAGAAAGGUAUCGGGUGUCAUAGCCGGCGUGAUCAUCUUCCUCAAGUAUUCCUC
rnacentral:precursor_RNA from 15 species